rnacentral:rRNA from 1 species
CCGAACCAGGGAGUAAUGGAGACGCCCAAGCUGGCCAUUCUGCUCGCCCUAGCCAUGGCGGCUGCCAUGGUUAACCUUUCCCAAGCCCAGAACUCGCCUCAGGACUACCUCUCACCUCACAACGCCGCCCGCGCCGCCGUCGGUGUGGGCGCGGUGAGCUGGAGCACGAAGCUGCAGGGGUUCGCCCAGAGCUACGCCAACCAGAGGAUCAACGACUGCAAGCUCCAGCACUCCGGCGGGCCCUACGGGGAGAACAUCUUCUGGGGGUCGGCCGGCGCGGACUGGAAGGCGGCGGACGCGGUGAAGCUGUGGGUGGACGAGAAGAAGGACUACGACUACGGGUCCAACACCUGCGCGGGCGGGAAGGUGUGCGGGCACUACACGCAGGUGGUGUGGCGCGCCUCGACCAGCAUCGGCUGCGCUCGCGUCGUCUGCAACAACAACCGCGGCGUCUUCAUCACCUGCAACUACGAGCCCGCCGGGAAUGUCGUUGGACAGAAACCAUACUAA